GACGAACGCUGGCGGCGUGCCUAAUACAUGCAAGUAGAACGCUGAAGGAGGAGCUUGCUUCUCCGGAUGAGUUGCGAACGGGUGAGUAACGCGUAGGUAACCUGCCUGGUAGCGGGGGAUAACUAUUGGAAACGAUAGCUAAUACCGCAUAAGAGUAGAUGUCGCAUGACAUUUGCUUAAAAGGUGCAACUGCACCACUACCAGAUGGACCUGCGUUGUAUUAGCUAGUGGGUGAGGUAACGGCUCACCCAGGCAACGAUACAUAGCCGACCUGGGAGGGUGAUCGGCCCCACUGGGACUGAGACACGGCCCCGACCCCUACGGGAGGCAGCAGUAGGGGAUCUUCGGAAAUGGACGGAAGUCUGACCGAGCCCCGCCGCGUGAGUGAAGAAGGUUUUCGGAUCGUAAAGCUCUGUUGUAAGAGAAGAACGAGUGUGAGGGUGGAAACUUCACACUGUGACGGUACCUUACCAGAAAGCGACGGCUAACUACGUG
rnacentral:rRNA from 1 species